GACGAACCACACAAGCGUUAUUCGGAAUUACUGGGCUUAAAGGGUGCGUAGGCGGCGUGGAAAGUUGGGUGUGAAAUCCCUCAGCUUAACUGAGGAACAGCGCCCAAAACUACCAUGCUCGAGGGAGAUAGAGGAAUGCGGAACUUAGGGUGGAGCGGUGAAAUGCGUUGAUAUCCUAGGGAACACCGGUGGCGAAAGCGGCAUUCUGGAUCUCUUCUGACGCUGAGGCACGAAAGCUAGGGUAGCAAACGGG
rnacentral:rRNA from 1 species